rnacentral:rRNA from 1 species
CGAUGGAGGGGGAUAACUACUGGAAACGGUAGCUAAUACCGCAUAACGUCGCAAGACCAAAGAGGGGGACCUUCGGGCCUCUUGCCAUCGGAUGUGCCCAGAUGGGAUUAGCUGGUAGGUGGGGUAACGGCUCACCUAGGCGACGAUCCCUAGCUGGUCUGAGAGGAUGACCAGCCACACUGGAACUGAGACACGGUCCAG